rnacentral:rRNA from 1 species
GUCAUACUUUUUCAGAACUUUGAGAGAAAUCAAAGUUUUUGGACUCAGGGGGAAGUAUGCUCGCAAGAGUGAAACUUAAAGGAAUUGACGGAAAAGCACCACAAGAUGUGGAGCCUGCGGCUUAAUUUGAUUCAACACGGGAAACCUUACCAGGUCAGGACAUAGUAAGGAUUGACAGAUUCAAGUUCUUUCUUGAUUCUAUGAAUGGUGGUGCAUGGCCGUUGUUGGUUGGUGGAGUGAUCUGUCUGGUUAAUUCCGAUAACGAACGAGACCUCAGCCAUCUAAAUAGCUCUCGCUAACUUUUAGCGUCCAGCCCAGGCUGGG